rnacentral:rRNA from 1 species
GACAGAGGAUGCAAGCGUUAUCCGGAAUGAUUGGGCGUAAAGCGUCUGUAGGUGGCUUUUUUAAGUCCGCCGUCAAAUCCCAGGGCUCAACCCUGGACAGGCGGUGGAAACUACCAAGCUGGAGUACGGUAGGGGCAGAGGGAAUUUCCGGUGGAGCGGUGAAAUGCGUAGAUCUUGGAAAGACCACCAAUGGCGAAGGCACUCUACUGGGCCAUGACUGACACUAAGAGACGAAAGCUAGGGGAGCAAAUGGG